CGCAGGAUGGCUCAGUCGGUAGAGUGUUGGGCUACGAUUCCGACACUUGCUGGUUCGAGUCCCAUCUGGCGA